AGUGAACGCUGGCGGUAGGCCUAACACAUGCAAGUCGAACGGCAGCACAGUAAGAGCUUGCUCUUACGGGUGGCGAGUGGCGGACGGGUGAGGAAUACAUCGGAAUCUACUUUUUCGUGGGGGAUAACGUAGGGAAACUUACGCUAAUACCGCAUACGACCUACGGGUGAAAGCAGGGGAUCUUCGGACCUUGCGCGAUUGAAUGAGCCGAUGUCGGAUUAGCUAGUUGGCGGGGUAAAGGCCCACCAAGGCGACGAUCCGUAGCUGGUCUGAGCGGAUGAUCAGCCACACUGGAACUGAGACACGGUCCAGACUCCUACGGGAGGCAGCAGUGGGGAAUAUUGGACAAUGGGCGCAAGCCUGAUCCAGCCAUACCGAGUGGGUGAAGAAGGCCUUCGGGUUGUAAAGCCCUUUUGUUGGGAAAGAAAAGCAGCAGGUUAAUACCCCGCUGUUCUGACGGUACCCAAAGAAUAAGCACCGGCUAACUUCGUG
rnacentral:rRNA from 1 species